AACGAACGCUGGCGGCAGGCUUAACACAUGCAAGUCGAACGCCCGUAGCAAUACGGGAGUGGCGGACGGGUGAGUAACGCGUGGGAACGUGCCCUAAGGUACGGAAUAACUGCGGGAAACUGCAGCUAAUACCGUAUGUGCCCGAAAGGGGAAAGAUUUAUCGCCUUAGGAGCGGCCCGCGUCGGAUUAGCUAGUUGGUGGGGUAACGGCCUACCAAGGCUUCGAUCCGUAGCUGGUCUGAGAGGACGAUCAGCCACACUGGGACUGAGACACGGCCCAGACUCCUACGGGAGGCAGCAGUGGGGAAUCUUGCGCAAGGGGCGAAAGCCUGACGCAGCCAUGCCGCGUGAACGAUGAAGGCCUUAGGGUUGUAAAGUUCUUUUGCCCGUGACGAUGAUGACGGUAACGGGAGAAUAAGCUCCGGCUAACUUCGUGCCAGCCGCCGCGGUAAAAC
rnacentral:rRNA from 1 species